UACGUAGGUGGCAAGCGUUGUCCGGAUUUACUGGGCGUAAAGAGCGCGCAGGCGGUCGUUCAAGUCGCGUGUGAAAGCCCCCGGCUCAACUGGGGAGGGUCACGCGAUACUGAUCGACUCGAAGGCAGGAGAGGGUAGUGGAAUUCCCGGUGUAGUGGUGAAAUGCGUAGAGAUCGGCAGGAACACCCAGGGGGAAACCAGCCGGCUGGGGACGUGGCUGACGCUCAGGGGCGAAAGCGUGGGGAGCGAACCGGG
rnacentral:rRNA from 1 species